rnacentral:snRNA from 1 species
AUACUUACUUGGCAAGGGAGAGUCCGUGAUCAUGGAGAUGGUCUUCCUGGGGCGAGGCUUACUCAUUGCACUCCAAAUGUGCUGACCCCUGCGAUUUCUCCAAAUGUGGAAAACUCGACUGCAUAAUUUGUGGUAGUUGGAGACUGUGUUCGAGCUCUUUCCUG